GAUGAACGCUCGCUACAGGCUUAACACAUGCGAGUCGCGGGGCAGCAUGGGGGUUGCUUGCAAUCCCCGAUGGCGACCGGCGCACGGGUGAGUAACGCGUAUCCAACCUGCCCUUCACCACGGGAUAACCCGGCGAAAGUCGGACUAAUACCGUAUGUUGUCCAUUGACGGCAUCCGAUUUGGACGAAAGGCUUGGCGGUGAGGGAUGGGGAUGCGUCCGAUUAGCCAGACGGCGGGGUAACGGCCCACCGUGGCUACGAUCGGUAGGGGUUCUGAGAGGAAGGUCCCCCACACUGGAACUGAGACACGGUCCAGACUCCUACGGGAGGCAGCAGUGAGGAAUAUUGGUCAAUGGGCGUAAGCCUGAACCAGCCAAGUAGCGUGCAGGAUGACGGCCCUAUGGGUUGUAAACUGCUUUUAUGCGGGGAUAAAGUGGCCCACGUGUGGGCUUUUGCAGGUACCGCAUGAAUAAGGACCGGCUAAUUCCGUG
rnacentral:rRNA from 1 species